rnacentral:pre_miRNA from 15 species
ACAUGGCGCCCUGUCUCCCAGCCUGAGGUGCAGUGCUGCAUCUCUGGUCAGUUGGGAGUCUGAGAUGAAGCACUGUAGCUCGGGAAGGGAGAGGUUGUUCGACGCC